rnacentral:misc_RNA from 1 species
AAGUCGUAACAAGGUAUCUGUAGGUGAACCUGCAGAUGGAUCAUUCUUGUAACUGUUUGUAGGGCUUCGGCUCUACUUACUAAACAACCACUGUAACACUAAACUUUAAAAGUGACCUAGUUGCGUUGGUACUCUUUAGGGGGUACCAACCAGAUGCAGGCACUUGGGGCUUUUUAACCUAACAAAUUCAUUAAUGCCUAAAAACAAAAAUAAUUUAAUACAACCUUUAACAAUGGAUCUCUUGGCUCCU